rnacentral:rRNA from 1 species
AAUAGAUACCCGGUAGUCCACGCCGUAAACGAUGGAUGCUAGCUAUUGGGGGGAAUCGACCCCCUCCGAAGCGAAGCUAACGCGUUAAGCAUCCCGCCUGAGUAGUACGAGCGCAAGCUUAAAACUCAAAGGAAUUGACGGGGACCCGCACAAGCGGUGGAGCGUGUGGUUUAAUUCGAUGGUAAACGAAGAACCUUACCAAGGUUUGACAUCCCGGUAGCCGUUCUCCGAAAGGAGAAUUUCAUUUAGUUGGACCGGUGACAGGUGAUGCAUGGCCGUCGUCAGCUCGUGUCGUGAGAUGUUGGGUUAAGUCCCGCAACGAGCGCAACCCUUAUGAUUUAGUUGGAUUUUUCUAAACAGACUGCCCUGGUAACAGGGAGGAAGGAGGGGAUGAUGUCAGGUCAGUAUUUCCCUUACACCUUGGGCGACACACGCGCUACAAUGGCCGGUACAAUGGGCAGCUAAGCCGCGAGGUGGAGCAAAUCCCAUCAAAGCCGGUCCCAGUUCGGAUUGCAGGCUGAAACCCGCCUGCAUGAAGCCGGAAUCGCUAGUAACC